CUUAACUCGCCUCAAAGUGAAAGUUUGUUGCUUUGACCUUUUGAUUGUGACUGCAGAGUCGGAGUCCUGAGGCAAGGAAACCAAAUGACCACAGCAUAUCAAAUGGAAGGGAGUGGGACUCUUGUCUUCCUAGAUGGCAGAGAGAUCUUAUCUCUCUCACAGCUUCAGAGAGUCAUCUCACAGUUCCUGAGGCGGCGAAGGAUCCGUGUAAAUUUACCGUGAAGGCUCUUAGAAGUGCUAUUCAAGAGGGAGAUUUCCUUUAAAGCUCUCAUUUAAAACCUUCAGAAGACAAAAAAAAAAAGUGCUCUUUCCUCACGAGGCCCAACAUCCAUUUUCCCAUUUCUGCUCACGAUCCUCAAAUGCUCGCCGGUACCUUUUUCAAAAUUGUGAAUUAAGUGACUUAAAUUGUUUGUCUUACUCUACUGUCAGUUAUCGGAUGAAAUCUGAGUGUCCAUCUCACCCAAUUUGUUUUGCGACUCAUACGUAACUAUUACAAAAGGUGCAAACAUUCACUGAUUCUCAGGAAGGCAACACUACAUUAAGAGUCAGGGGGAUGUAAACUUUUGAACAGGAUUAUUUUGUUUAAAGAUCUUAUGUUUUAAUGUAGUACUGCCCAGCAGAAACUACAUAAGAUAUUUACAUGUUUCCCAGAAUACAGUAUAUUAACAAUUUACACUGAUUAUUCUGUUCAAAAUUAUACACCUCCCACCCCCUGACUGUAUCAUGUUACCUUCUUCAACAUCAGUGAAUGUUUACACUGGAAUGAUACCA
ensembl:lncRNA